rnacentral:rRNA from 1 species
UCGUAGACCCGAAACCAGGUGAUCUACCCUUGGUCAGGUUGAAGUUCAGGUAACACUGAAUGGAGGACCGAACCGACUUACGUUGAAAAGUGAGCGGAUGAACUGAGGGUAGCGGAGAAAUUCCAAUCGAACCUGGAGAUAGCUGGUUCUCUCCGAAAUAGCUUUAGGGCUAGCCUCAAGUGAUGAUUAUUGGAGGUAGAGCACUGUUUGGACGAGGGGCCCCUCUCGGGUUACCGAAUUCAGACAAACUCCGAAUGCCAAUUAAUUUAACUUGGGAGUCAGAACAUGGGUGAUAAGGUCCGUGUUCGAAAGGGAAACAGCCCAGACCACCAGCUAAGGUCCCAAAAUAUAUGUUAAGUGGAAAAGGAUGUGGCGUUGCCCAGACAACUAGGAUGUUGGCUUAGAAGCAGCCAUCAUUUAAAGAGUGCGUAAUAGCUCACUAGUCGAGUGACACUGCGCCGAAAAUGUACCGGGGCUAAACAUAUUACCGAAGCUGUGGAUUGUCCUUUGGACAAUGGUAGGAGAGCGUUCUAAGGGCGUUGAAGCAUGAUCGUAAGGACAUGUGGAGCGCUUAGAAGUGAGAAUGCCGGUGUGAGUAGCGAAAGACGGGUGAGAAUCCCGUCCACCGAUUGACUAAGGUUUCCAGAGGAAGGCUCGUCCGCUCUGGGUUAGUCGGGUCCUAAGCUGAGGCCGACAGGCGUAGGCGAUGGAUAACAGGUUGAUAUUCCUGUACCACCUAUAAUCGUUUUAAUCGAUGGGGGGACGCAGUAGGAUAGGCGAAGCGUGCGAUUGGAUUGCACGUCUAAGCAGUAAGGCUGAGUAUUAGGCAAAUCCGGUACUCGUUAAGGCUGAGC